GACCGGAGUGGACGCAUCACUGGUGUUCGGGUUGUCAUGCCAAUGGCACUGCCCGGUAGCUAAAUGCGGAAGAGAUAAGUGCUGAAAGCAUCUAAGCACGAAACUUGCCCCGAGAUGAGUUCUCCCUGAGACCUUGAGUCUCCUGAAGGAACGUUGAAGACGACGACGUUGAUAGGUCGGGUGUGUAAGCGCAGCGAUGCGUUGAGCUAACCGAUACUAAUGAACCGUGAGGCUUAACCUUACAACGCCGAAGGUGUUU
rnacentral:rRNA from 1 species